GCCCAGCUGGCUUAGUCGGUAGAGCAUGUGACCCUUGAUCUCCGGGUUGUGGGUUCGAGCCCCAUGUUGGGUG